rnacentral:lncRNA from 1 species
GGGAGGCUCAGGCACGGCUGGGCUGCAGGUCCGGAGCCCUGCCCCGCGGGAAGGCAGCUAAGGACGGGCGAGAAAUUAAGCACAGCAGCUGCUGGCCCAGGUGCUAAGCCCCUCACUGCCUGGGGCUGGCGGGGCCGGCAGGCCGCUCCGAGUGCGGGCCCGCCGAGCCUACGCCCACCCGGAACUCGCGCUGGCCCGGAAGCACCGCGCGCAGCCCCGGUUCCGGCCCGCGCCUCUCCCUCCACACCUCCCCACAAGCUGAGGGAGCCGGCUGCGGCCUUCGCCAGCCCAGAAAGGGGCUCCUACAGUGCAGUGGCGGGCUGAAGGGCUGCUCAAGCGCCGCCAAAGUGGGAGCCCAGGCAGAGGAGGCGCCCAGAGCGAGCGAGGGCUGUGAGGACUGCCAGCACGCUGUCACCUCUCACUCAUAUAGAUUGCCAAUCUAUUUGUGAACCAGGUUUGCUGGAGUUUGGAUUUACUACUGAGUCAUAUUUGGAGCAUGCUGGAAUCUUACAACUGAGAUUACCGAGUCAGAAACUUGCAAACAUGAGUAACAUGGCCCUGCUCUGGAGACUACUGGGAACACAAACACAGCCAUUUAAGACAUCUACCUGCUUCUCCUUUGCCUUCCAUCAUGACUGAAAGUUGUCUGAGGUCUCCCAGCCACGUGUCCUGUACAGCCUGUGGAACUGUCACACUGAAUUUGGACACUGGAGAAGAGAAAGGAGAAGGCCAUUCUGGCUACCCUAGGACUCAGAGACGACUUUAAAGAAGAAUCAGAAAAUGGAGACUGGGAUUGGAAGCAGAGAUCCGAUGGCCAAAUUACAGUCUGCCACUGAAGCUAACACACCUAUGGUUUCAGAGUAUUCUUUAGUCUCUUCCACCAUGUGAGGGCACAGUGAAAGGAAGGACUUCUAUGGAGCAGAAUGUGGGCCCUUACCAACACUGAGUCUUCCAUUGCCUUGACCUUUAACUUCCCGGCCUUCACAACAGUGAGAAAUAAAUUUCUGUAG